UCACUGGUCGAGUCGGCCUGCGCGGAAGAUGUAACGGGGCUAAACCAUGCACCGAAGCUGCGGCAGCGACACUAUGUGUUGUUGGGUAGGGGAGCGUUCUGUAAGCCUGUGAAGGUGGCCUGUGAGGGUUGCUGGAGGUAUCAGAAGUGCGAAUGCUGACAUAAGUAACGAUAAAGCGGGUGAAAAGCCCGCUCGCCGGAAGACCAAGGGUUCCUGUCCAACGUUAAUCGGGGCAGGGUGAGUCGACCCCUAAGGCGAGGCCGAAAGGCGUAGUCGAUGGGAAACAGGUUAAUAUUCCUGUACUUGGUGUUACUGCGAAGGGGGGACGGAGAAGGCUAUGUUGGCCGGGCGACGGUUGUCCCGGUUUAAGCGUGUAGGCUGGUUUUCCAGGCAAAUCCGGAAAAUCAAGGCUGAGGCGUGAUGACGAGGCACUACGGUGCUGAAGCGACAAAUGCCCUGCUUCCAGGAAAAGCCUCUAAGCAUCAGGUAACAUCAAAUCGUACCCCAAACCGACACAGGUGGUCAGGUAGAGAAUACCAAGGCGCUUGAGAGAACUCGGGUGAAGGAACUAGGCAAAAUGGUGCCGUAACUUCGGGAGAAGGCACGCUGAUAUGUAGGUGAAGCGACUUGCUCGUGGAGCUGAAAUCAGUCGAAGAUACCAGCUGGCUGCAACUGUUUAUUAAAAACACAGCACUGUGCAAACACGAAAGUGGACGUAUACGGUGUGACGCCUGCCCGGUGCCGGAAGGUUAAUUGAUGG
rnacentral:rRNA from 1 species